rnacentral:rRNA from 1 species
AUGAAGAAGCUCCAUGAUGAUGGGAUCCUAACUUCGUCCGACUUCGGGUCGUUCGAGACAUGUGAAUCAUGCUUGCUCGGCAAGAUGACUAAGUCUCCUUUCGCAAAGAGUUGCGACAGGGCGUCCGAGCUGUUGGAACUUAUACAUGGUGAUGUGUGUGGUCCAAUGAGCACAACUGCCAGAGGUGUCUAUCAGUACUUCGUGACUUUUACCGAUGACUUGAGUAGAUAUGGAUAUAUCUAUUUGAUGAGGCACAAGUUGGAAACUUUUGAAAAGUUCAAAGAGUUUCAGAACGAGGUUGAGAAUCAACUCGGCAAGACAAUAAAGCUUCUACGAUCAGAUCAUGGAGGUGAGUACAUGAGCCAGGAGUUUGAUGAUCAUCUGAAAAGAUGA